rnacentral:rRNA from 1 species
AUUGAACGCUAGCGGCAUGCCUUAUACAUGCAAGUCGAACGGAGUGGCGAACGGGCGAGUAAUGUAUCGGAACGUGCCCAGUAUCGGGGGAUAACUACGCGAAAGCGUAGCUGAUACCACAUACUAUUGGAUCUGCCGUUAGCGCAUUAGCUAGUUGGUGGGGUAACGGCUUACCAAGGCGACGAUCCAUAGCUGGUUUGAGAGGCCGACCAGCCACACUGGAACUGAGACACGGCCCAGACUCCUACGGGAGGUAGCAGUGGGGAAUUUUGCGCAAUGGGCGAAACCCUGACCCAGCCGUCCCGCGUGUGCGAUGAAGGCCUUCGGGUUGUAAAGCACUGUUGGUAGGGAAGCGGUACCUACAGAGUAAGCACCGGCUAACUACGUGCCAGCAGCCGCGGUAAUUC